rnacentral:snRNA from 1 species
GUUUCUUUUCAAAUCAUAUAAAUCUUUCGCCCUUUACUAAAGAUUUCCAUGGAAAUUGACCAC